rnacentral:lncRNA from 1 species
GAGCAACAUGUACCUGAGGACUGUGCAGAACGAAAGCUCGGGUUGACGCUGUCCUUGUCCAUUUAAUUUAGAAACGGUGUUGUGUCCAGUAGUCAGAUAGUCAAUUUCAGAUAGAGUUGUGUCACAUGUUAAAUGUAAAGUCAAUGCAUUUGCAACCUUUUAUUAUGCUGAACGGCAAAAGUGCCAUUUCCAGAACGGCAGAAGUUGAGAGAGGAAAGUGGAGUCAUUUUUGAGACAGCAUAGCGAGAAGGAAGUUAUUUUCCGAGGUGACCUUGGAGCAUUCAUCAAAGACACCUGAUGAAGCCCUACCCAUCGGAUAAGAGCAGCUGUUCUUUGCUCAGAGGGUAGGAGUGAAAGACUAGAUAUCCUGCUCCUCCAGCGAUGACACCUUCUGCACCUGUGUCGGAGACAGCCAGUCUGCUACUGAAAUGUGAAGAGUCCUGAAGCUACAAGUGUCUGGCCGAAUGUUUUAAAGGUGUUUGAAACUUGGCUUCCCUGACGACGAG